rnacentral:rRNA from 1 species
AAUAUUGGACAAUGGGCGCAAGCCUGAUCCAGCAACGCCGCGUGGAGGACGAAGGUCUUCGGAUCGUAAACUCCUGUCAGGUGGGACGAAGGCUUCCGUGCGAACAGUGCGGAAGCUUGACGGUACUGCCAGAGGAAGCCCCGGCUAACUCCGUGCCAGCAGCCGCGGUAAUACAGAGGGUGCGAGCGUUGUCCGGAAUCACUGGGCGUAAAGGGCGCGUAGGUGGUGACCUAAGCGUGCGGUGAAAGCCCGAGGCUCAACCUCGGGUCGGCCGUGCGAACUGGGUCACUCGAGCAGAAUAGAGGCAGGUGGAAUUCCGGGUGUAGCGGUGGAAUGCGUAGAGAUCCGGAAGAACACCGGUGGCGAAGGCGGCCUGCUGGGUUCUGGCUGACACUGAGGCGCGACAGCGUGGGGAGCAAA